rnacentral:rRNA from 1 species
AGUGAACGCUGGCGGUAGGCCUAACACAUGCAAGUCGAACGGCAGCACAGUAAGAGCUUGCUCUUACGGGUGGCGAGUGGCGGACGGGUGAGGAAUACAUCGGAAUCUACUUUUUCGUGGGGGAUAACGUAGGGAAACUUACGCGAAUACCGCAUACGACCUACGGGUGAAAGCAGGGGAUCUUCGGACCUUACGCGAUUGAAUGAGCCGAUGUCGGAUUAGCUAGUUGGCGGGGUAAAGGCCCACCAAGGCGACGAUCCGUAGCUGGUCUGAGAGGAUGAUCAGCCACACUGGAACAGAGACACGGUCCAGACUCCUGCGGGAGGCAGCAGUGGGGAAUAUUGGACGAUGGGCGCAAGCCUGAUCCAGCCAAACCGCGUGGGUGAAGAAGGCCUUCGGGUUGUAAAGCCCUUUUGUUGGGAAAGAAAAGCAGCAGGUUAAUACCCCGCUGUUCUGACGGUACCCAAAGAAUAAGCACCGGCUAACUUCGUG